rnacentral:rRNA from 1 species
CCUACGGGGGGCCGCAGUGGGGAAUAUUGGACAAUGGGCGAAAGCCUGAUCCAGCCAUGCCGCGUGUGUGAAGAAGGCCUUCGGGUUGUAAAGCACUUUCAGUGGGGAAGAAAGCCUUGGGGCUAAUACCCUCGAGGAAGGACAUCACCCACAGAAGAAGCACCGGCUAACUCCGUGCCAGCAGCCGCGGUAAUACGGAGGGUGCGAGCGUUAAUCGGAAUUACUGGGCGUAAAGCGCGCGUAGGCGGUCUGAUAAGCCGGUUGUGAAAGCCCCGGGCUCAACCUGGGAACGGCAUCCGGAACUGUCAGGCUAGAGUGCAGGAGAGGAAGGUAGAAUUCCCGGUGUAGCGGUGAAAUGCGUAGAGAUCGGGAGGAAUACCAGUGGCGAAGGCGGCCUUCUGGACUGACACUGACGCUGAGGUGCGAAAGCGUGGGUAGCAAACAGGAUUAGAUACCCUAGUAGUC